AAGCCCGAAAGAAGCUCGGAGUAAAGUCAAUCGUGAUAGGAGGAAGUCUGAAAGAGAUUUGGAGAGUAGUCGAUCACUAUAGAAAAUCGGCUCAUAGUGAAGCCCAGAGAGCAUUUGGAGCAGUCCGAUAGAUGACUGAAGGAGCUCAUUUUUCGAGAAGUCUGGAGAGUAUGAUAGGAGUUCGUCCGUUGGAGGAAUCUGGAGGAUACUGUUGAAGGUCGACUGCUGGAGGAGUCCGGAUGGUACUGUGGAAGCUCAGACGGUCGGAGGAGUUCAGAAAGACACCGCACA
rnacentral:lncRNA from 1 species